rnacentral:misc_RNA from 1 species
GAAAUGCGAUAAGUAAUGUGAAUUGCAGAAUUCAGUGAAUCAUCGAAUCUUUGAACGCACCUUGCGCUCCUUGGUAUUCCUUGGAGCAUGCCUGUUUGAGUAUCAUGAAAUCUUCAAAGUAAAUCUUUUGUUAACUCAAUUGGUUUCUACUUUGGUAUUGGAGGUCUUUGCAGCUUCACACCUGCUCCUCUUUGUUCAUUAGCUGGAUCUCAGUGUUAUGCUUGGUUCCACUCGGCGUGAUAAGUUUAUCUAUCGCUGAGGACACUGUAAAAGGUGGCCAAGGUAAAUGCAGAUGAACCGCUUCUAAUAGUCCAUUGACUUGGACAAUACUUUUAUGAUCUGAUCUCAAAUCAGGUAGGACUACCCGCUGAACUUAAGC